GUUAUUUCUGAAGAGGAGGAUCGAUCAGAGGGAACCCACACCAAGAGCAAGCAGAAGAAGGAUGAAAAGAAGAGGAAGAGAGAUGAAAAAGAACGACCAACCAGACAAAGCAGUAGGAUUCAAGCCUGGCUGCAAAGUCUUAGGUGUCAAGGAGUUUGCAAGGAAUGAAGGUCCUUAUAAUUAGGGAAAACGUGGAAACCAUGUGAAGAUUGAAGUGUAGGCGAGCUAUAACCUUGUAUGGAUAAGAUCAAGCACUACAAGAUAAAAUUCUACAAAAGUUGAUAUGCACAGAAUGAUGCAUGUUGUUGUUUGUCUAUGCAACAGACCUGCCACAUAAUGUUUUAUUCCCUGCAUGUUGGAGGAAAUUGUACUACUUGGAACUAAUUUGAAGGAAAGAAUAAGGAAUAUGUUAUGUUUAUUGGGCCAGUAGCAAGGAAUAUCCAUAAAGCCUAUGAUCCAAUGACAAGACAAAACCCUAAAAGUCAGAGGGUGUAAAAGGAACCUCUUUGAGGAAAUGGAAAGAGGUUAAGAAGUUGAAAGACUUGAGAAAUUGCUAUAAAAAUAUAUUAUUGAAAAAGAAGAAGAAGUUUGAAUCGAUAGUGAAGAGUUCCUUCCAUUCUCCUCCAUUGAAGAAGUGUUGGGCCUCUUGGCAUGACACAACUCGCCUUCUGCUGAUUGAGAGAUUGUAAGGAGUAAAGUGUCAUACUUUGGUUUAUAUAUAUUUUCAUCUGUGUUUAUAAAUGUUGAAUGUAAGAACUUGUGUUAUUGUAUUUCUUUUGCUCAUCAUGAGCUAAAACACUUUAUUAUGAACAAUGUGAAGUUUAAUAAAAAGAAGUAUUUUAUGUUAAA